ACUCUGCUGGUUGUUAUGAAAACAACAGUCAACUAUUGUGCUCACGAGAGGGAUCUGUCAGACCACUGCUAUUCUUGGUCUCAGGGGAAUCAUUAAGUGACAAAGUUCAUCAAACGCCAAAAGACAAGCUAGUUAAAGCUCAAGA